rnacentral:lncRNA from 1 species
CCUGGACUUUAUUUGGGAAGCUGAGAAUGGAAGAGAAACAAAAGAGUUUCUAAGGCCCUUUGGAAAUCAAGUAGAAGCCAAACUAAGGCUGUGUUGUUCCUCAAAGUAUAGCAUGGGAUCUCCUAAGGAGGGUCAAAUGCUUCAGCUACAUCAGGACAGGAAAAAGGCAUCUUGUCUGCACGCUGAG